UUUCAUUCCGAAAUGAUCCUUCCCUCUUUUCACGUCCCCCACCCCUGGUCCAAGGAAAAAUUGUCUUCCACGAAACCAGUCCCCGAGGCAAAAAAGUUUGGAGACUGCUGGUCUACAGUGUCCCAAAACCCUUUUCUAUGGUUCCUUCCCAAAGCCUGGAGGCUCUAAGUCCUCCCCUGUUCUUAUACUCCUGUGUGUUGAGAAAAAUAGCAUUUCCUAUGCUCUGAAGGUUCUCCAGAACAUUCUUUCUAGGCUGCAGGAUGGAGAUUAAUAAUAACAGAAUAUUUGGCAUGGCCUUGUUAGCCAAUCCAAAGCCCUCUGGGCUGAAGUGGGGGUUUUUCACUUCAGGGUCAUCCAGCCUGGGUACCUUCCAUCUCAGCAUCCCCAGGCACAGACAGGAAGGUGACAUCACCCCAUUUACAUGAUGUCUGUCUUUGUGGCCUGGGCCACUGGGUGGCUUACCUCAGAGGCGGAGAUGUCAGAGAUGGGUGUUCUGGGCAUGAUUAACAAAGGGAAAACUGAGAGCAUUCCUACUGAAGCCCCUUCUCCUUUCAGCUCCCACUCAGGUGGCCUGUCCUCACGGGCCUUGGAGUGGAGACUUGAGCCACCACCUGUCAGAGGUGGAGACUUCACAGGCACAGCUGGAGCCAAGAACCCUGGUGCCCAAUUGUCUGUGACUGCAACUGGAUCAAGGGUUUGACUGUGGCUAUCGCUUAGCCAGGCGGGAUGUUUCCUCCACCACCUGCAGCUUCACAACCAACGGUGAUCCUGGGAACCAAUGGCCCUUCCAAGAGCUGGGUUUGGAGCCUUCCCUUGAAUGAAGAACCCUCCCCAGCUGGAAGGUGAUGCUAUUGAAGGCUCAGCUGACAACAUACAUGGGCAUCAAGUCAUUGGCCACAUUCAUGCCUCAAGUGUCCUAAAACCGAAGAUGAUCAAAAGAAAACUGCUGUUCAGCAAGUGGAGACUGGCAUGCAGAUUCCCUGGCCUGCAAGCUUAGAGCAGGAAGAUACUAAAUGCUGCUGGAACAAUGAAAAGAAAGAACGGAUGUCACAAAAAGCAUUUUCAUUUGAUGAAUAGAACUAAAAGAGCAAAGCAAUUGAAAGCUCAACACAACACAGGAGGGAUCCAUGGCUGAGGAUUGUAUUUCAGAACCACUGACUGCUCUUGACAAUUGUUAACCCACUAGGCUCCUUUGGUUAGAGAAGCCACAGUCCUUCAGCCUCCACUUGAUACCAAUACUUAGGAAGACCAAAGCCAGAUGGACAAACAGCAUUGAGAGGCUUUAGCCCUACUCCUCUCAGCUUCCAUCCUGUAGAGAACAGGAGUCAGGAGCUGCUGGCAGGAGACAGCAUGUCACUUGGGAUUCUGCCAGUGCAGAAUAUGAACAAUGCCAUGUUCUUGCUAAAAAUGCUUAGCUUGAGUUUCAUAGGAGGUAAUCACCAGAUAGACAACUGCAGAAUGUAGAAUACUGAGCAGGACAAUAACCUGUCUCCUUCAGACAGUCCAUGUCACCACGAAUCACACAAUAAAAAGGAGAAAAGACAUUUUGGGUUCAAAAAAACUAAAAAGAUAAUGUAGCUAUAUUUCUUUAGUUAUUUUGAACCCAAAGUAUCUCCUCAUCUUUUUGUUGUUGUCAUUGAUGGUAGGGACAUGGACUUGUUUGUAGAGGACAGGUCAGCUGUCUGGCUCAAUGUCCUACAAGAGACAGGGGGGACAUGGAAGCGUACAGCUAUAUUUGUGGAUUAGUCUAGCUAUCUGUUCAGUAUUUAAGGUUGUUGUUGCAUAGAUAUUUAUGACUUUUGUCAGGGGAGGGGUUGGUGGAUUGGUCCUUUCAUCAUUUUAUAACUUCCCUUUCUCUCUCUGAUUAGUUUCUUUGUUCUGAAAUAUACUAUAUCUGGCAUUAAUAUAGCCAGUCUUCCUUUCCUUUAGCUAAUGUUUGCAUGAUAUAUCUUUUUCCAUCCUUUUGAUUUCAACUUGCCUGUAUUGUCAUAUUUGAAGGUAGUCUCUUUGUAGCCAGGAUGUAGUUGGGUCAUGUCCAUUAACCUACUCUGCCAAUCUCUGUCUUGUAAUUGGUGUACUUAGCCCAUUGAUAUUUAAUGUGAUGAUUGAUAUGGUAGGGCUUAAGUCUGCCAUUUUAUUUUUCCUUUUCUGUUUGUUCUCUCUGGUUUCAUUUUCUGGAUAUGCUUUAUUUUUCUUACCUGCUGUGGUGACUUGAACAUCUUUGAGAAUGGUGUUUUGCCUUAUCCAUAGUAUUUUUUAGUAUAUGUGUUUGUAUAGCCCUCUUGGUUUUUCCAGGUAUAUAUAUAUAUAUAUAUUUAUAUGUCUGUGCAUCUAUAUCUGACCACACGGUAUACUGGUGUCAUUGUUUCACCAGUUGAGUGAACGAUAGACGAGCAACCUUCUAUAUAGGUCUCUUUACCCUUCCAGUUUAUAAUUGUUUCCAACAUUUUCUGUAUGUAGAGUUAGAACCACAUCGAAUGGUUCUAUGAUUUUUUUUCUGAAACCAUCAAGCAUAGUUUAGAAAACACAAGAGGAGAAAGAAGGCCUAUUUUGCUCACUGUUUUUUAAAAUUUUCUUUCUGACAUCCCAAGUUUCCUUCUUUAAUCAUUUCCUUUCUGUCUAGAGAACUCCCUUUAGCCUUUCUUUUAAGGCAGAACUGCUGGUCAGAGAUUCCCUUAGCUUUUCUUAAUCUGAAACUGUUUUGAUCUUCCCCUUAAUUCCUGAAAGAUGUUUCUGUUGGACAGAGGAGUCUGGGCUGACAAUUAUUUUCUUUCAUGGCUUGAAAAGCACUGCACAACUUCUUUCUGCCUCCAUGGUUUCUGAUGAGAAAUCCAUCAUCACCGGAAUUGUUUUUCCUUUCUAGGUAAGGUGUCACCUUUCUCUGUUGUUUUCCGGAUAUUUUCCUUGUCUUUCUUUUCCAACAUUUUAUUUUGUCACGUGUCUUGCCAUAGACCUCUUUGGGUUUUAUCCUAUUUAGGGUUCUCACAGCUUAUUGAGCCUGUAGGUUUAUGUCUUUUGCCAACUCUGGGAAGCUUUCGGCCAUUUACUUCUUUGAGUAUGUUUUCAGCCUUGUCUUCUUCCUCUUCCCCUUCCAGACACUGAUAACAACAUGAAAGUGAGAACUUUUGAGGUAGUUUCACAGGUCCCUGAGGUUCUGUUCACUUUCCCCCCCAGUCUGUUUUCUCCCUGUUAGGAUUCUGUAAUUUCUGUUUUUCUCAUCUGCAGUAUAUGGAUUUGUUUGCUUCACACCAUCCAUUCUGCUGCUGAGCCUAUCUGCUGGACUUUUUAUUUUAGUUGCAUUUUUCACUUCUAAUACUUCCAUUUGGUUCUUAUUUAUGUCUUGUAUUUAUUUGCUGAGUCUUUCUACUUGUCCAUUUGUUUCAAGUGUUCUUAUAAGUACUCAUUAAAUCAUUUCAUCAGGCUUGCCUGCUUUAAACUCUUUGACAAUCCCAACACCUCUCUCAUCUCAUUGCCAGCGUGUAUUUGCUGUCUAUUUUCAUUCAGUAUGAGAUUUUCCUAGUUCUUGGUAUGAUGAAUGAUUUUCAAUUGAAACUUGGACUUUUGGGUGUUAUGUUAUCAGAGUUUCGAUUUUAUUGAAACCUUCUGUUUUAACUACCUUUUUUUGAGUCUGUUUCUGCAGGGGAAGAAGAGUGGUGCCAUCUCAUUGUAGCCAGGUGUGUGUAAAAAUCCAGGUUUCUCAUCUGACUGACCUCUGUUGACACCCUGAGUGGAGGAGCUGCUAAGGUAGGAGAGGGAGUUCCAGCAGCCCACUCCUCCUCCACUGCUACGUCCCUGGCUGGGUGGGUAGGAGUGCUUCAUUACUGCUUUCCACGUGGCCUCCAGUGACACCACAGGACAAGGGCAGCCUUAUUACUGCUGGGUGGAUGAAAGUCCUGACUCUCCACCAGGACUCCUCUGAUACCAGCCUAGCAGACAGAGGGAGAGGUGCCUCAUGACCAUCUAAUGAAGUCUAGGCUCCAAAUGUAGUUUCUAUUGACAGGGAGGUAAACAUAUUAUCACCUGGCAGGGAUGAUGAUGACAGCCCCAGCUUCCUCCUCUAACAUCUGUCAUUGAAAUUGUUUUUCCCCUCUAGGUAAGAUGUCGUCUUUCUCUGUUGCUUUUGAGGUAUUUUCUCUGUCUUUAGUUUCCAGCAUUUUAGUCAUUGUGUGUCUCAUGAUAAAUAAAAUGCUGGAACCUAAAGAACCCCCGGGGCAAGGUGGGGGUUUAGCAUAUGUCAUUAUACCUGCGCAAGCGUGAAACCCGAAGCCCCUCACUGGGAUUUUGCUAGCUUUUAUGUUGAUGCAGCCACAGCUUUUCUUCCACGGUGCUUGACCUGAGGAAACUGAUGAUCGUAUAUGUGUCUUGUCUUGCUAGACUGCCCCUUUGCUGAUCCUUUGCCUAGAGAGAGCAAGAUUGUAUUGGGGUUUGCUGGAUCUGUAGCCAUUGGUAUUUCUGGGCUGCCAUCUCCUUUGGCUCUACAUCUAGGAUGUAUGCGGGGGCAUGGAGGAAUCCUGGGAACUCAUCUCCUGGCUUUCUGUGGGUCUUGAGGAAGCCAGAUGGCCUCCUACCUUCUCUUUGCCCUUCAGUCUUCCUAUGUUUGUUGUAUGUACAAUGCCCAAGGUUUUUAGAUGUAAUGAGCAGGAAGAAUAGGGCAAAGUUCAUCUAUUCCACCUUCCCAGUGUAUGCCUGUGAUUUCCUUGUCUUGCCUUAUUGAUUUGGGUAGGAUUGUCAUGUGAAAUAUCAGUGGUGAGCGUGGUCUUCCUUGCUUAGUUCCCAGUCCUAGAGGGAAAGCAUGUGGUCUUUCACCAUGAGGUAAGAAGUUAACUGUGAAUUUUUUUGUAAGUUGUCUUUAUCGAGCUGACAAAGUCCUGUGUUCCUAUGUUUCUGAUAGUUGUAAAACAUUCUCUUUCUUCCCUUCUUUCUAUUUUUUCUUAUUUCUGUUUUUGUUUGUUUUGUUUUUUU
rnacentral:lncRNA from 1 species